GACGAACGCUGGCGGCGUGCUUAACACAUGCAAGUCGAACGGAAAGACCCUGCUUUUGUGGGGUGCUCGUUUGGCGAACGGGGGAGUAACACGUGAGUAACAUGCACUUAACUUUGGGAUAACUUUACGAAACUGGGGCGCAAACCGGAUAGGAGCUACUGAUGCAUGGUGGGGGUUGGAAAGUUUCGGCGGUGUGGGAUGGUAUAGAGGCUUAUCCGCUUGUUGGUGGGGUAGUGGCUUACCAAGGUUAUGACGGGUAGCCGGCCUGAGAGGGGGACCGGGGACAAGGGGACUGAGGGACGGCCCAGAAGCGAACGGGAGGCAGCAGGGGGGAACAUUGCACAGUGGGCCGAAGCCUGAGGUAGCAACGCCGCGUGCGGGAUGACGGCUUUCGGGUUGUAAACCGCUUUCGCCGGUGACGAGGCGGGAGUGACGGUAAUGGGUAAAGAAGCACCGGCUAACUACGUG
rnacentral:rRNA from 1 species